AUUCUUUCGGUGGCAGUGAAAGGUGACGGAUGUGAUUCGCAUCAGGAGGCAAAUUUGAAACCUGUGAUAUUAUGAACGUCUAAAGAAAUGAUUUUAAUAUUUAAGAAUAAAGAAACAGGAAAUAAAAUACUAAAAUCCGUUAGCCGAAACAUAACCUAUCAUAUUAAGUAAUUGUCAAAAAAAAGCGUAGAAUCUUCUUGUUUGUCUUUAGAGUGCUGCAGUAUUGCUAAGAGCAAGACAACUGCAACACGAAAGAAAUGUGCUGGCAGAUGCACUUGUAUGCAAGCCAAAAAAAAGAAGUGGAAGUGGAAGUUAUUUGACACGGAGAUGAAUGAAUGGCCAAAAGCGAGGUUAGGUUUAGUUUAGAUGUGUUUUGUUUAUUUCUUGCAAGGAAAACUAAAUCAAAAGAUGAGUGGUGGUAACAUUUGUAGCAUAGCUAUAUGUAAAAGCAACUCCAAAAUUCCUGAACCAGAUGGAAACAAAAUAAUGCUUUUGGACAUUUCCCAAAUACCUUAACAUUAUCAAACAAUAAUGGAUAAUAAAAUGUUACAAGAUAAAUGGGCCUCUAAACAUAAGAAAAUAGGUAGCAAACAUUUCCUCGUGUCUGAAUAUGUUAAUAUUAUGUUAUGUCUUUUUUAUAUUUUAACCUAAUAAUUUAAAUAGGCUUAGAUAAUAAAAUUAUAAAAUUGUAAAAAUAUCACACAAAAUUGAAAAAUGUAUCCAUUAAGAUAGUAUAACACUCUGUAAAUUUAGAUAAUAAGUAGGCUUAGAUAUUAACUUAAAAUUGUUAUUGUAAUACCAUACAAAAAAACACAAAUAGUCUGGCUAAUUGGCUCUGUCAAAGCCAUUAAUAAAAAAA